GGUUCAGUCUCAUGUGGAUCAUCGCCGGAGAUGAGUGAGGCUGGUUCCAGAUCUGGCAGAGGGAGGAGAAGGUUUACCUCCGCAAACGGGAGUAAUAGUAAGAGGUGUAACAAUGGGAGCAAUAAUAGAAAAAGAAAAGGUUUGAGCGAGGAGAACGUGGAUGCGGUGGUGACUCUUCCUCUCCUACCGGAGACUCCUGACUGUAAGGACAGUCCCGGAAGAGAAACACCGGUGCAGCUGCUUUCACCAAAGCAAGCAAAGAGCGUUCCCACCUGGCUUAGCUUUGGUACCAAUGGGAAGGAUCAUGACCGGAUGGUGAUAUCCGGAGGUUUUGGCAUGUCAGAUUAUCAGACGGUUGUGACGCCACAUGUGAUGAGGGUGGUUGUUGGGUCAUGUGUAACUGUAGAAUGUAUUACGGACGCGUGGGUGGAUGCUGAUGGGCUGGGGUGUACGGACGAUGAGAGGAGGACGAAUCUGGAGAGGG
rnacentral:lncRNA from 1 species